AAUGAACGCUGGCGGCGCGCCUAAUACAUGCAAGUCGAGCGAGAAGACGUAGCAAUACGUUUGUAAAGCGGCGAACGGGUGAGGAAUACAUGGGUAACCUACCCUAGAGUGGGGAAUAACUAGCCGAAAGGUUAGCUAAUACCGCGUACGCUCCUUGGACUUCGGUUCAGGGAGGAAAGCGAUACCGAGGGUAUCGCGCUCUUGGAUGGGCUCAUGUCCUAUCAGCUUGUUGGUGAGGUAACGGCUCACCAAGGCUUCGACGGGUAGCUGGUCUGAGAGGACGAUCAGCCACACUGGCACUGCGACACGGGCCAGACUCCUACGGGAGGCAGCAGUAAGGAAUAUUGCGCAAUGGGCGAAAGCCUGACGCAGCGACGCCGCGUGGGGGAUGAAGGUCUUCGGAUUGUAAACCCCUUUCGGGUAGGGAAGAAAGACCUCGACCUAACACGUCGGGGUCGUUGACGUAACCCA
rnacentral:rRNA from 1 species